CCCUAUUACACGUUAGACAAAACCCUUUAAUAUUUCCCUCUCUUUUGCAUUUUAACCAUCAUUCUCCAACCGAGUCUUCUCUCACCCCUUUCCAAGCGCAGAAACCAGGCUUCCAUCACACCUCCAUUGAAGAAAAAUCGGUAAUACUCUCCCUUAUGCAAUUCUUCAUCUUUGAUAGUACUAUCUCUAUUCAUUUCUUCAAACCCAUCCCCUUAUGCCUUUUCCUUCUCUCUCUGCAUCUUUCCCUUUCAUUUCUCCAUUUCCAUCACAUAUUCCUUCUUCAACCCCAACUUCCUUGUCCGCCCUCACUUCUCCACCCCAGCUUCCUCGUCGUGUUUCAUCCUCAUUUUUCCUGGUUAAGGAAGGUAAUGGUCAGCAGCACGUCGAAGCUAUUAUUCAAGAUGCAAAGGCUCAGCAAAUCCAUGUUAUUACUCGGUCAAGAGAACUUGAAGUCUGGAAGAAGACCUUGCAGGAGACUAAGACAUACAUGAUAUAUGAAAUACAUGAUAUAUGAUGGUGAGACUUUGCUUAAUGACAUGCCUUUGAAGGUUUAUGACAACAAGUACAAGCUGUUUUUUAACCGACACUCACUUUCAUUAACAUCCCUGAGAUUCCACCAUAUUGUUUCCUUUUCAAGUCUUUCUCAGAUUUUGUAAAUGGAAACUUCGAUGGUGAUAGCCUAUUUGAUGUCAUAGGUUCUGUCCAGCAUGUUGGUAGGACUCAAGUGGCUGGUGCUGGCAAGAAGGCUUGUGUUAACCUCACUUUGGCUGAUGAAUGGUAUGUUUCUUUUCUUUCACCCUUUUAUAUUUCUUCAACCAUUA